GAUGAACGCUGGCUACAGGCUUAACACAUGCAAGUCGAGGGGAAACGGCAUUGGGUGCUUGCACCGAAUGGACGUCGACCGGCGCACGGGUGAGUAACGCGUAUCCAACCUUCCCGUUACUGCGGGAUAACCUGCCGAAAGGCAGACUAAUACCGCAUGUUCUUCGAUGACGGCAUCAGAUUCGAAGCAAAGACUCGUCGGUAACGGAGGGGGAUGCGUCUGAUUAGCUUGUUGGCGGGGCGACGGCCCACCAAGGCGACGAUCAGUAGGGGUUCUGAGAGGAAGGUCCCCCACAUUGGAACUGAGACACGGUCCAAACUCCUACGGGAGGCAGCAGUGAGGAAUAUUGGUCAAUGGGCGGAAGCCUGAACCAGCCAAGUAGCGUGCAGGAUGACGGCCCUACGGGUUGUAAACUGCUUUUAUGCGGGGAUAAAGUGAGGGACGCGUCCCUUUUUGCAGGUACCGCA
rnacentral:rRNA from 1 species